rnacentral:rRNA from 1 species
GAUGAACGCUGGCGGCGUGCCUAAUACAUGCAAGUCGAGCGAACAGAUGAGGAGCUUGCUCCUCUGACGUUAGCGGCGGACGGGUGAGUAACACGUGGAUAACCUACCUAUAAGACUGGGAUAACUUCGGGAAACCGGAGCUAAUACCGGAUAAUAUAUUGAACCGCAUGGUUCAAUAGUGAAAGACGGUUUUGCUGUCACUUAUAGAUGGAUCCGCGCCGCAUUAGCUAGUUGGUAAGGUAACGGCUUACCAAGGCAACGAUGCGUAGCCGACCUGAGAGGGGGGUCGGCCACACUGGAACUGAGACACGGUCCAGGCUCCUACGGGAGGCAGCAGUAGGGAAUCUGCCGCAAUGGGCGAAAGCCUGACGGAGCAACGCCGCGUGAGUGAUGAAGGUCUUCGGAUCGUAAAACUCUGUUAUUAGGUAAGAACAAAUGUGUAAGUAACUAUGCACGUCUUGACGGUACCUAAUCAGAAAGCCACGGCUAACUACGUG